AGGAAAAAAUCGUAAUUUCUUACUAAAUUUUCAGGUCAUACUUAAUGAAAAUUAAAUGUAAUUAAUUGAAGAUUUUAUCAGGUUUUUUUCGUAAACGUGCUUUGAUAAUCGUAAUAUUGUUUUGUCUUUCAGUGAAUAUCAGAGAUUGUGAAAAUUAUGAUAAUUCAACAACUGUCGAAAGUUCAGAGGAGGAAGAUGAAAUUAUUAAGAGGAAAAGAAGAAGAAAAAAACAAGAUUUUGUGACAGAUAGUGUGAAUGAUGAUAUCUCAGGUUGGGGACGGUAAAGGUUCAGAUUAUGAUAUGCUUGAACUUUAAAGUAUGCCCCAGAUCGCCAUAGUGGAGGUGGACGAAAGAAGAAUGCUAAUUAAGAUAUAUGAACAUUGAUUUGUAGUAAUAUCAAAUUAUUCACAAUAUUGUUCCAUUUAACAUUCAGAACAAAAAGUACAAAGAAAAAUAUAAAUACAAUCAGUGAGUUGGAUAGAUGAUUGGAAAACCCCAACCUCAGGGUGAUCGGUUCAGUCGGAAAUAAGCCUUGGUGAUAUAAGAAAAACAUGCAUGAAUGUUAACCAUAAAAAUGUCAGUGUUAAUGUUUAUGAAGAAUUUUGUAUAUCUAAAACAUGAUUAUUUAAUACAUGAAGCGUUAUUUACGUACAUACUGUCAAGUUUAAUAGUUCAAAAUACAUUAUGUUAAUGUUACAUUUGUUAUAGUACCACAUUUAUUGUUUUGUACAUGUGAUUCGUAUUGAAAAUAAAUUGUUGAAAUUAUAAGAAUGCUUAUUUGUUUACCCUACUAAUGAGCUUAAAAUGAAAA